AGAAUGUUUGUGCUGGACACAGAGAGCAUCAGGCCAGUCUCUCUCCAGGGGCUGAAAGUGUAAGAUGCUGUCCUUGGGAGUCCGUGGUUUCCUUCAGGUGGUGAGCUGCUGUAUAAUGGCAAGCAGAUGAAACCCAACAGUGAGGUAGAGAGCCCUGACAGUGUUUGAGCUCCUGACUCCAGCUUUUCCUAUGGUCCACAUACAUUCCUUCCUUAGGUUUCAGGUGCUAUCCCAGCACCAUUGUUAUUAUUAUUAUUUUUAAAUCCCUACCUGUUUGAACUAAUUCAGGUUGGGGUUCUGUUACUUGAAAUCAAGUGGUUCUAACUUAUGGAAGAUGGUUUCAUCAGUGUCUAGACAUGCUAACCUUUAAAGUCUUAUUGUUUUUGGAGAGUUUCCACCCCUCCAGGUUCGAAGCCAUUACCAGAGUGCUGCUGAAGCCCCUUGCAGAUGUGAGGGGACCUCUCAUGCCAAGUCUUAUGGCUGCAAAGACAUCGCAUUCCACAGUGUGGUGUCAGAGAAGAGUCCUGGGAGAGAACUCUCUCCAGUCACCUUGGGAAGAUUUCCCUCUCCUACAACAGCUAACAUCAGUGGAGCUGCCAGCAUAUUCACUCUAAGGACACAACAAAAGGCACUAUCUUUGAAGAGCGUGAACCCUUACCAGAUGGAAUCUGCUGACACCUUGAUCUUGGACUUCCCAGCCUCCAGAACUGUGAGAAUAAAUUUCUGUUGUUUAUACAUUACCCAACCUAAGAUAAUCUUCUUAUAGCAGCAGGAACCAUCUAAGACA
rnacentral:lncRNA from 10 species